rnacentral:lncRNA from 1 species
AUAACAGCUUUUAUUUCUUUUUUGAAGUAUAAUUAACUGUAUUAAUUAAUAUACUACUUAUGUCUUCUAUUUACUAUAUAAUUUAAAAUAUUUUAGAAUUUACAUAAAUUUCCGGCCGCGUAGCUCGGGCCUUCACUAGUGUAUAGAUAAGGGACAUUAAUUAAUUAUUUUAUAUUAACCUGUAAUCUUAUACUAAUUCAAAAAUAUUUAACACAAUAAACUGAACCAAUAAGAGCAAUAAAUAAUAAAAACUA